CCUACGGGAGGCAGCAGUGGGGAAUAUUGGGCAAUGGAGGAAACUCUGACCCAGCAACGCCGCGUGAAUGAUGAAGGUCUUCGGAUUGUAAAGUUCUUUUCUAAGGGAAGAAGAAAGUGACGGUACCUUAGGAAUAAGCAUCGGCUAACUCCGUGCCAGCAGCCGCGGUAAUACGGAGGAUGCGAGCGUUAUCAGGUUUUAUUGGGUUUAAGGGGUGCGCAGGCGGUCUGUUAAGGCGGCGGUCACAGCCCGGGGUUCACCCCCGGCCCGCCGUUGAAACUGGCAGUCUCGAGUUGGAGAGAAGCAGGCGGAAUGCGCGGUGUAGCGGUGAAAUGCAUAGAUAUCGCGCAGAACUCCGAUUGCGAAGGCAGCAUGCCGGCUCCACACUGACGCUGAGGCACGAAAGCGUGGGUAUCGAACAGGAUUAGAUACCCUAGUAGUC
rnacentral:rRNA from 1 species